AUUGUAGGCUGAAACUCGCCUACAUGAAGCUGGAGUUACUAGUAAUCGCAGAUCAGAAUGCUGCGGUGAAUGCGUUCCCGGGUCUUGUACACACCGCCCGUCACACCACGGAAGUUGGGGGCGCCCGAAGCCACUUAGCUAACCCAUUUGGGAAGCGAGUGUCGAAGGUGAAAUCAAUAACUGGGGUGAAGUCGUAACAAGGUAAC
rnacentral:rRNA from 1 species